rnacentral:tRNA from 1 species
GCGGGCAUAGCUCAGUUGGUAGAGCGCGAGCUUCCCAAGCUUGAGGUCGCGAGUUCGAACCUCGUUGCCCGCUCCA